CACGUAGGGCGCGAGCGUUGUCCGGAAUUAUUGGGCGUAAAGGGUGCGUAGGCGGGUCUUUAAGUCAGGGGUGAAAUCCUGGAGCUCAACGUCCAGCAACUGCCUUUGAUACUGGAAGAUCUUGAGUUCGGGAGAGGUGGAGUGAACUGCGAGUGUAGAGGUGAAAUUCGUAGAUAUUCGCAAGAACACCAGUGGCGAAGGCGACUGACUGGACAAGUAUUGACGCUGAGGUGCGAAAGCGUGGGAGCAACAGG
rnacentral:rRNA from 1 species